UGGAGGUGGAGGUGAGGACGUGGGGGUUAUGGGUGAGGGAAAGAGGGCCGGGGUCCGUUCCUGUCCAGCAGGGUCCAUCCCUGGUCGGUCCUGUGUCUGUGGGGGGAGUGAACACAAGCUCAGACACAAACAUCGUCACAGACAGCGUGAUCGUGAUGGAAAGGAAGAAGAGGACGAGAGAGUUGCAGGGUCACAGCUAAGGUCAGAGUUCACCACAGGAUCAGGAGGAAGUAGAAAGACUGGAGGACAAGGGACUGCUGGGUUGAUGGAGUCUCCACGGCAACAUAGGCAUGGCAAAUACCCCUCAUCUUUCUUCACUGCUUCUGCUAAACCAGCCUCUUCAUCAUCAUCAUCAGAGAGGCUCAAACACACACCCCUCACCUGUCUAGGCUCCUCUCACCUGUCCUCUUUCGGGGAGGGCUGGGGGGUUCGGCAGAACCCCUGGCUGAGGAGAGGGGGGCUGGGGGCAGGAUUCAGACCCCUCGAUCCCACCUGGGGCACUCUGACAGAAGAGCAGAGGACAGCUGCUGUGGGGGGGUCAGAGAGAGAGGUAGGGGAGAGACACACACCCUGUCACAGCACCUUCACCCCCCCGACACACACCAACCUCUUCACCUCCUCUGCCACCAGUGGGAGGGGCAUGAGGAGCGGAAGAGACAAUUGGAGACCAGGGAAUCAAGACGGGUCACUGAGGAGUGAGGAGCCAUCACAGACAGAGAGCAGAGGCACAGACCCACACUAUGACCUGAGCAGAAGGCAACUGAAGUGGCUGAGAACCAGUCAACGUUUUGGGGCUAAGAGAGGGCCUGGACGACCCAGGAAGAACCCUCUAGCCUCCCCUUUGGUCUCCCCCUUCCUCUCUCCUACAAGCCAACCAAACCCUCCAACUGAGACGGACGACCAGAACAGAGACAGAAACAGAGGAAGAGGAGGAGGAGAUUCAGUACAAGAGGUGAUUGAAGCUGUGAUUCAGAGCCAGAGGAGGAGAAGACGGAAGAGGAGGCACAUUGAGAAAGAGGAGGUUGAGCAUCCAUCCUGUCUCCAAAGCCAAUCAGAUAAGGGAGCUGACCAGCUGCCUAGGAAGAGGUUUCAGAGAGCGGGGCUCUACUCAGAUGACUACAAAACUACAGAUCCCUCCUCUCAGAACCAGCUGAACAGAGAGAGACUGGAAUAUACACCAGGACAACAAGACUACAGCCUCCUGCCUGCUCCCAUACAUGUUGGGAAGUACUUAAGAAUGAGACGUAUUGACUUUCAGUUGCCCUUUGACGUCAUGUGGCUCUUCAGGCACAACCAGCUCCACAAAGAGCCAGAUGUUCCUCUGACCAGAGAGAUCUCAUCCUACCAACCAAAAGAGAAGAGCCUGUCCAGUCACCAGACAGGGGUGUCCCUCCCUCCCUCUCCCCAGGAGGAGUGUUCCAGUCCCAGUAGGAAGAUGUUUCCCUACCUGGACAUGGAGCCUAUGACCACCAGUGACAGGGUGUUCAUCCUGAAGCACCGCGUGUUCCUUUUGAGGAACUGGGAGAGGGUCAGAGACAGACAGAUACGCCUGAGGAGGGGGAGAGAGGGGGAACGAAAGAAAGAUGGAGGAGGAGUUUCCAGCUAUAUAGCUACUGGAGACAACAACAGCCACAUCAUGUCAGGUCAACAAAUGGCGGUGAAGAAGGUUGUGUGGACUAGUGAGCCCCUUCGUGAUCCCCAGUGCCCCCAUAACCUCCUCAGCACCACGCCCCAUCUCACUGAGAACAGACAAGAGGAGAAAAAACAGGUGGAGGAGGAAGAGGAGGGCUGGAGGGAGGUCCGGAAGGAGCGACUGAUCAACAUACUCCUGAAGCUGCGGCAGACAUGAUUGGUGAGAGAGGACAAGGAAGGAAGGAGGGGGGGAAUCUCAGCUCAGUAUCUCUUCUUCCAAGUAGCUCAGUUCAGCUAACUUUGCACUAGUGUUGGGGGGAAAACACUUCCCUGAAAUGAUUUGUUAUAAAGAUGAUUUUGGGCUUUGUUUCUGAGAGGAAUGAGGGUGUAGUUGUUUACUGUACCAUUGAGAAUGAUUGUCAGACAGUCAGCAGACCAGUGACAGUCUGAUUUAAUAGUCAGAGAGGGCAGAAGGGAUGGAUGGAGACCAUAGAGUCUUAAGGCUGGAUUAAAUUUGUAUUGUGAAAGAUCCGCGUUGUAGCUUGAUUUAAAUGUAAAGAAAAUGUUCCCGUGUUCUCGCAGACUAGAUUCACGGUAAACGCUGCAUGUCGGCUCAAUCUGAAAUGACCAUGACAAUAACAUUUUUUACCCCCUUUUUUGUGAUAUCCAAUUACGAUCUUGUCUCAUCGCUGUAACUACCCAAUGGGCUCGGACAGGCGAAGGUCGGGUCAUGCGUCCUCCAAAGCGUGAUCCAAGCCACGCUUCUUAACACCUGCUUACUUAACCCGGAAUGUAUUGGAGGAAACACCGGCCAACUGACGACUGUCAGCUUGCAGGUGCCUGGCCUGCCACAAGGUGUCGCUAGAGCGUGAUGAGCCAAGUAAAGGCCCCCCGGGCCAAACCUUCCAACCUGGACAACCCUGUUGUUUGCCGCACUAUGUUUUUCCGUGAAUUCAGUCUCCACUAACGUGGGAACAUUGCCUUUAAUGUUCCCUUCAGCUCUACGUAUUGAAUCGGGCCUUUAAUGUAAAAGUGCCAUGUUGUAAAUAAACUGACGCCUAAGUGAGUUCAAUCUCCAAAAGCAAUACGUCCUGUAAGGAUUUCAGUACAAUAACUUUAAUAUCACUACCAGUACCAGCUAGAGACCCUUCUAUGUAUCAAACCAAGUAGUUUUUAUUGCCUUAGUGAAUAUGAUCAUUUCAAGAUCGUUAUAUUGUACCAAUGAUAAUGCAGUAACAUUGACCUAAGUAAUGUAAUAAAUCAGUUGCAUAAUUGAUAGAUAAUAUCUAAGCGUUAAAGUUAAUAGUCAAAGGCCUUCAUUUUGCUACAAAGUGUUAAACAUAACUGACCCAUGUUAAAUAUUGCUAUGAUUGUAUAUGACUUUUCUUCGCCUGUAUACUUUUUCUGACUGAUGGAAUGUUAUUUUUUAUUUGGUCAGACAAUCAGGAAAAUGAAUUUAAUCUGAGAUUUGUAAUCGUUCAUUUGUACAGUUCUCUUUGGUGCAGUUUCUAGUUUGACUUUGAACACUAAGUUGAAUGUUUUAUAGUUGACCUGUGUAUUUGCCUCAUCAAUAUAGUGAAGGGUUAUUUAUGUAGUUUGCAUGAAAUGUAACUUUGGGCUGGAUUCAAUCCGUAUCGCGGAAGAUCACAUUAAAGUGUAGAGGUCAUUUAUGGUGAAGAUCACAUUAAAGUGUAGAGGUCAUUUAUGGUGAAGAUCACAUUAAAGUGUAGAGGUCAUUUAUGGUGAAGAUCACAUUAAAGUGUAGAGGUCAUUUAUGGUGAAGAUCACAUUAAAGUGUAGAGGUCAUUUAUGGUGAAGAUCACAUUAAAGUGUAGAGGUCAUUUAUGGUGAAGAUCACAUUAAAGUGUAGAGGUCAUUUAUGGUGAAGAUCACAUUAAAGUGUAGAGGUCAUUUAUGGUGAAGAUCACAUUAAAGUGUAGAGGUCAUUUAUGGUGAAGAUCACAUUAAAGUGUAGAGGUCAUUUAUGGUGAAGAUCACAUUAAAGUGUAGAGGUCAUUUAUGGUGAAGAUCAUAUUAAAGUGUAGAGGUCAUUUAUGGUGAAG